GAUGAACGCUGGCGGCGUGCCUAAUACAUGCAAGUCGAGCGAACAGACGAGGAGCUUGCUCCUCUGACGUUAGCGGCGGACGGGUGAGUAACACGUGGAUAACCUACCUAUAAGACUGGGAUAACUUCGGGAAACCGGAGCUAAUACCGGAUAAUAUAUUGAACCGCAUGGUUCAAUAGUGAAAGACGGUUUUGCUGUCACUUAUAGAUGGAUCCGCGCCGCAUUAGCUAGUUGGUAAGGUAACGGCUUACAAAGGCGACGAUGCGUAGCCGACCUGAGAGCGUGAUCGGCCACACUGGAACUGAGACACGGUCCAGACUCCUACGGGAGGCAGCAGUAGGGAAUCUUCCGCAAUGGGCGAAAGCCUGACGGAGCAACGCCGCGUGAGUGAUGAAGGUCUUCGGAUCGUAAAACUCUGUUAUUAGGGAAGAACAAAUGUGUAAGUAACUAUGCACGUCUUGACGGUACCUAAUCAGAAAGCCACGGCUAACUACGUG
rnacentral:rRNA from 1 species